UGUUUGUCUAAAAUCAAAUAGACACUUAGCUUCUUAAAUGGACAAAUUGUGUCUAACAAUAUGAGAUUGAGCAAUAACAGGUCUGUGAUGCCCUUAGAUGUUCUGGGCUGCACGCGCGCUACACUGAUGCAUGCAACGAGUAACGACCUUUGCCGGAAGGCACGGGUAAUCUUUUGAACGUGCAUCGUGAUAGGGAUAGAUUAUUGAAAUUAUUAAUCUUGAACGAGGAAUUCCUAGUAAAAGCAGAUCAUCAAUCUGCAUUGAUUACGUCCCUCCCCUUUGUACACACCGCCCGUCGCUCCUACCGAUU
rnacentral:rRNA from 1 species